rnacentral:rRNA from 1 species
UACAGAGGGGGCGAGCGUUGUUCGGAUUUAUUGGGCGUAAAGAGCGUGUAGGCGGUCAGGUAGGUCGGUUGUGAAAACUGGAGGCUCAACCUUCAGAGGUCGACCGAAACCCCCUGGCUAGAGUCCGGGAGAGGAGAGUGGAAUUCCUGGUGUAGCGGUGAAAUGCGCAGAUAUCAGGAAGAACACCCGUGGCGAAAGCGGCUCUCUGGAACGGUACUGACGCUGAGACGCGAAAGCGUGGGGAGCGAACAGG